UCUCUCUGUCCCAAAAAAUAAAUAAAAAAACGUUGAAAAAAAAUAUUUAAAAAAAAAAAAAAGAUAGUAUUAAUUUCCUUCUCUCCAUAGUCUGUAAGGGAAUAGUGGUAAAAUAAAUAUAACGCCAUACUUUUAUAAAAGCACAAUGAGAAAACAGGAAGAAAAUCACCUAGGUAAUCAAGGAAGGUAUAACAGAAGAAGUUCGAGUUAAAGCAGUUCUUCAUGGUGAAAUGGUAUGAGUUUGCUUAGUAUGGGAUUUUGAGGGGAAGGGCAUGAUGAGACAAGUGAAUAGAAUUACAAAAGCCCAGAAAAAUAAAAGAGUAUGAUGUAUUGAUGAAAUGCCAGUAGUUCAGUGCUUUGGACAUUGGGUACAAAAAUGCUCUUGGUGAGAAGUAAAAUUGGCAAAGGAGAACAGGAUAGAUCAUGAGAAACUGCAUAUGCUGCAUAGGCGAUAAGAAGGUACUUAAAAGACUCUUCACUGAGCCACUGUGCUGCUUGUGCUGGGCACAAAGGAUGACUGUACCUGGAUUCGUAACUGAAAUGAUGGCCUUGGCAAGCAGUGUGAAGGAUGAUGAAGAACACAGUGAGACUGAACAGUGAAGCCAAGAGAUUGAAUUCCAGGCUUGUAAAAUAGCCUCAGCAAUAGUCUAAACACUGGAAGUGUUCAUAAGUGAAGAGGAACUGAAUAUUCAAAAAAAGAAAAACAAGUUUAGAAAGUAGAAUAGACUGGACAUGGAGACCAGUUGAUGGUGAGGAAUGAAAGAGUGGGGAAAAUUUUCGGUUUGAGUUACUGGGAAACAUUGGUGUUGUCCACUGAAGGAGAGGCAAUAGAAGUAAAGUUUUCUCCAAAGAUGUAUUCCACCAUUGACUUAUAGAGUUGGUUGGAAGUAGCUCUUACAACUAGGUAUAUCUCAUAGCCAUUGGAAGGCUGUGACUUCUUGCAAAGCUCCCCUGUAGGAAGCAGGCACCUCUUUGAUGCCUACAGUACUUAAAUGGAUGGAAAUGCUCAGAUUGUCUGGAAAAUAUUUCAUCAUGAGAAGUGAUCUAAGUGUGAAAGUGUCUGUUGGGAACCAGCCCCAAUUCCCAAACUCCUUGAAGCCUUUUCCUCUCAAGAGGAAAGUGAAAUAAGUAGUAUUUACUUCUCCCCCGCAGGGUCAGGAAUUUUGCAAGAAGAAAUGCUGGGAAUAGUUAAUUCAUCUAAGAAAGUGAAUCCCAACAAGGACGGCAGUGGGCCAUGAAUCACUGCUUCUAAAGCUGAAAGAAAAUUGGAAUGGAAUCUGGCUGGAGUAUAGGCUUCCACUGCCCUGAUAAUGUGAAUCCCCCUGAUUGGUGACUCUGAGCCAGACAAUGGGAAGAAAAGAGCGCGGCCAAUUGAGUGCUGCAUUUUUUUCUGACCCUUCUAAGACUCUAUUCAUCAGUUCUUCAACGUGUCUCUCUACAACAAAAACGGGAGCCCUUCAAAGAGCCUACAGUAUCCUUGGAACCCACAAAAUUACCACCAGCACCACCACCACCACCACCAUCAUCAUCAUCAUAAUCACUGGUAAUGAUUAUUUCGUAUUUUCUGCAUGGCAGGAGCAGCACUAAACAUUUUACGUCCACCAUCUCAUCUAAUCAUCUAAUUCUCAUAAUUAUCUUGUGAAGCUUGUAUGAUUAUUAUCUCCAUUCUACAGAAGAGAAAAUUAAACUUAGAAAGAAGUAAUGUCCAGUGUCACAUAGCAAGGCCUGCAUUAAAGGUUGUAAGAGAGAGGACUUUGAGGUCAUAUUCACCAAGCCUCUGCAUACUUUUCAGCCACAGGAUAUUAAUCCAGUUCCUGCUUGAACUCAGUUUGGGAUGGGGGUUCGUUGCCACCAUAUACAAUUUAUCUUCAUUUCAGACAUCUGUAAUUGUUUUUCUUAUAAUUAAGCAGAACUCAGGAUCCUUGCAACAUUUAAGCAUUAGUCCUGCUCAUGUUCUCUUGAUACCCACAGAAGAGUUCAAAUGUGUGUUCCAUCUGGAAGUUGUUCAGAUGUGUGAAGACACAGUCUUUUCUCUCCAAUAUUUAGUUUCUUUCAGUUAUCUUGUAUGUGUCCUGACUCCUGGAUCUCUUACCAUUUCUCUUAUUGUCUCUCAGAAUUUCUCUUUCAAUCAUCAGGAAUUCCAAAAACUCCAGAGGUAGACCAACAGUCCUGUGUAGAGCAAAAUUAAUAGCAUGACUUUAAAUUUUGUAUUAAUGUUUAUUUAUUUUUGAGAGAGACAGACAGAGACAGAGUGUGAGUGGGGGAGGGGCAGAGAGAGAGAGAGAGAGAGAGAGAGAGAGACACGGAAUCUGAAACAGGCUCCAGUCUCUCAGCUGUCAGCACCAAGCCCGAAGCAGGGCUCCAACUGGGACCAGUGAGAUCAUGACCUAGGCCAAAGUCGAAUGCUUAACCCACUGAGCCACCUAGGCAUUGCAUGACUUUAAAAGAGUCUGCUUAGUUAGAAGAGAAAAGGUAUUAGGGUUAAAUCUUGAUUUUGUGUUUUGCUUAUGUGAGUUCCUUACCCUCUCUGAACCUCAGUCCUCACCUGUUAAAUAGAGAUAAUGAUAUUUCACCCAUUGUAUAAUAGGAACAAAAUAAAAUAAUGUAUACAAAGAAUAUCAUGUUGCCUAAAACUGCUCCAAACAAAUCAAGUCUAAGAAAGAAGAAUAUCGUAUUGUGUUUGGAGGUAAUAAAAAUUUCAAAAAAAAUAAUGGUUUAAAAUUAUUGAUAAAGGACUUCACCUGCAGCAAGAUAGACUAGACCUAAUUUUCUCCUAAUAAGUACAACUAAAAAUUCUAGACAUUAUACAUAAGACACACAUAACAUUCUGAAAGUUGAAGAUGAGAAGGCAGGCAAACCAGGGACCUCAGGACUCAAAGGAACAAUAGGAUGAUGAAUACGCUGGAUUUUCUUUUUGCCUCCUCUAUAUAAAACUGGAAGAUGAAGAAACCAGCAACCUGGAAAUGCCAAUGGACACAGACCAAACAGCCCCAACAGAAGCUUAUUCUCUCAGUCAAGGGACCAGGAAAGGGACAAGAAAGCAAGAUGUAAAGAUUUUAGGCAAUAACAAAUCUACAGCCAAACACCACAGAAAAACUAUGGCACACCGACACCCACACCAACAAAUGCCAAGCAAGGAGCAGCCUAGAUUUCCAUCCUCAUAGCACUGUAACAAAACACCCCCAUCUAAGUCUGGGGUGAUAUCAGAGAAGGCCUUUCACCCCCCACCAUCCAAUUAAGAGCCAUCCUACUUAUGUCUCUUGGGACCAUGCAGGAAGCCUGAAUUUCUCCACCAACUCACCAUUCUCCUCCCUACCAGGAUAAUGCUAGAGGAAGCCUAGUGGGGGGAGUCAGGAUUUUCAUCACCCAGCAUAGUGAAGGCACCCCCACUGAAGUUACUAUGGAAAUAGCAUAAGGAGCCAAAUUUAUGCCUAGCAAUAAUGAUGAACCUCUCAAAUCUUGGUUAUCAACAGAGACCAAGUGGGGAACCAGGACUUUUACCUCCAUCUGGCAGUAACAAAGUUGUUACUCCUCUCCCUCCCUGGCCAGAACAGUAUCAGAUAAAUCCAGUUAUUAUUUAAAUAAGACCCAAAUUUUACAAUGUAAUCUCCAGAUUUCAAUUGAAAAUCCUCUUCAUACCAAGAACCAAGAUGAUUUUAACUUGAAUGAGAAAUGACAAUCAAUAGAUGCCAAAAUUGAAGUGACAGAGAUGUUAACAUUAUCUGCCAAAGAUUUUAACGCAGCCCUAAUAGAAAUACAGUAAUGGGAAAUUAAAAAUAGUCUUUAAACAAAUGACGAAAGAGAAAGACUUAGAAAAGGAAUAGAAGUAAAGAAACAAACGAUAAUCCUAGAACUGAAAAAUAUAAUCCUGAAAUGGAAAGAUCAGGGGAUAGAUUCAAAAGCAGAAUGGAGAACACAAAGGAAAGAAUCAGUAAAUGGGAGAUAGAACAGUAGAAAUUUCAUAGUCUAAAAAGCAAUCUAGGAAGGAAGGAAGGAAGGAAGGAAGGAAGGAAGGAAGGAAGGAAGGAAGGAAGGAAGGAAGGAAAGAAAGAAGGUGAAUAGAGCCUUACGGACUGAUGGCACUGAAAAGAAAAAUAGACAAAUUUGUAACUAAAACUGAAGACUCAACACUUCUUUUGCAACAAGUGAUUGGUCAAAUAGAAAGUCAGGAAGCAUAUAGAAGAAUUCAUAUCAUCAAACAAUAAUAUCUAAUCAACAUUUAGAGAAAACUCCAACCAACAACAGCAGAAUAGGUAUUAUAUUCAAGUACCCAAGAAAUAUAUACCAAGAUAGACCAUCUCCUGGGACAAAAACCAAACCCCAACAAAUUUAAAAUAAUUGAAAUCAUUCAAUUUUCUCUUACCAGAGUGGAAUCAAACUAAAAAUAAAAAGCAGAAAGAGAACUGGAAAAUCUCUAAAGACCUGGAAAAUGAAUGAUACACAUCUAAAUAUUUCGUGGGCCAAAUAAGGAGGUCUCAUGAAUAUUAAAAAAAAAUACAUUGGACUGAAUGAAAAUGAAAAUAUAGUAUAUCAAAAUUUGUGGGACACAGCUACAAAAGGGCUAAAAAGGAAAUUCAUAACAUUAAAUGAAUACAUUAGAAAUGAGAAAAGGCCAAACUGAACCCAAAGGAAUCAGAAAGAAGGGGAAAAAAUAAGAACAUAUCAAUGAAGUUGAAAACUUCAAAAAUCAAAUAUAUGAAUGAAGUUGAAAACAGAAAAAUAGUAUAGAGAUCAAUUAAAAAUCUUUUUUAAAAAAGUCCAAUAAAAUUAGCAGGACUUUAGCAAGAUUGACAAAAAGAGAGAGAGAGAGAGAGAGAGAGAGAGAGAGAGAGAGAGAAGACAAAUUACCAAUACCAGAAAUGAAAUAGGGGAUAACACCACAGAACAAGACAGAACAGACAUCAAAAAGAUAAUAAAGGAAGGCUAUAAACAACUCUAGACACAUAAAUUAUUAUCCAAAUUAUUAUCCAUUGUGAAAUAGAUAAUUUGUGGAGCCUUAUAAACAUUCAGAAAGUUAAAUUUGUGCAUGAAAAAAUCAGUAUCAUUAGCAACUAGGAAAAUGCAAACUAAAAUCACAAUGAGGUAUCACUACAUAUCUGUCAGAAUAGCUUGAGUAAAAAUAAUGACAACAUCAAAUGCUGGCUAGGAUAAGGAACUAAAUUGCUUAUGUAUCGCUAUUGGAAAUAUAAAAUGGCUUAGUUAUUCUGGAAAACAUUUUGGCAGUCUCCUAAACAAACAAACAACCAAACAAAAAACAAGCCUUAAAACCCUAAGCAUUUAACUACCAUUUUGCCCACCCAUUUCACUCCUGGGCAUUUAACCCAAAGAUGUGAAGACUUAAAUUUAUGAGAAAAAGAAAAGAAAAACCCUGCAUACUAAUGUUUAUAGCAUCUUUAUUCAUAAUAGCCUAAAACUGGAAACAAUCCAGAUGUCCUACAACAGGUGUAUGUGUAAACAAAUUGUGGUAUAGCCACACCAUGGAUACUCAUCAGCAAAAAAAAAGGAACACAUUAUUAAUACAUGAAACAAUCUGACUACAGUUAAAUUAUGCUGAGUUUAAAAUAGUCAAUCUCAAAAUAUUAUAUACUGUAUUAUUCCAUUUUGUUAUGACAAAAUUAUAGAAAUAGGAAACAGAUUAAUAGUUGCCAGGGAUUAAGAAGGCAGAGGUGAAUUUUUAUCUUUGCUGUAUCAAUGUCAAUAUCUUAGAGGCGACAUUGUCCUAUAGUUUUGCAAGAUGGUAUCGUUGAGAGAAACUAGGUAAAGUGUACAUGUGUCUAUUAUUUCCUACAAUUUCAUGUUAUAACUGUAAUUAUCUCAGUAUAAAGCAGUUUAUUAAAAUUUAUUGAUAAGAAUAAAUUAUAUCAUAAUUCCUUGAAAAUUGAUUAUCUGUGACAUGUGUUCGAUGUUAAUAUGAACAGGUGUUUCCCACUGUGAUCUGGAGGGUAUUUGUAGCUAUUGUAUAGGAGAAGGAAUUUGUCAUCAUAUGAAUUUGGAAAGUGUUGGCUUAUAUAUACUUCUCUUUUUCAAGAAUUUUCAGAACCUUUAUUAUACUUUUCUGUCUUGUGGAUUUUCAAGAGAUUGGUAGAAUAAACAUUCUUCCUAAUAUCUUGAUCACUGAGACUUAGCUCCUCUUCCCCUGCUCUCAAAAACACAUGCUCAACACAUCAGAAAAGCAUUUAUGAGACUGGUGUUCCAUGGAAUGCACUUAAAAAAUGCCAGUGUCUACAGAAUAUGCUAUUUGUUACUCUGACUUAAUAACAGAAGUAAGGAAAUUUUAAGAAGAAGCAAUAACUUAUAAGAAGUCAUAAACGCAUAAAAUAGUAUAGACUUUUAGAGUCAAGACUGAGGACAUAGGAAUGGCAGAGAGCUUGCAGGAGGUAUGUCUGGAGGGGUGUCAACUGGCCAGAUCAUGAAGGGACUUGAGUGCCAAGCGAGGGAGUUUUUACUUUGUCCUGGAAGCCAUAGAGUCUCUGCCAAGACCCCUAGGCCCAUCCUUUUGUUCUACAAACAAGGGCACUGAGACAGAAUUGCCUGAAUGGCCCAUUUAACUAUAGCUGUUUAGAUUUGACUAUACGAAUUCUAAAACUGUGAGUAGAACAUACAGACUAUGAUUAGUCUUUGACUUGGGUAAUUACAAAGUACAUAUAGAUAAGCUUCAAUUCAAAACAUCUCUGCAUAUAUUCACAAUACUCUGUAUAUAACCAGUAACUGUGAAGUCAUUCUUUCGUAAGUGCCCUUAUCUCACUGAUGGGGCAACAACCCCAGAAUAACAGAAAUGAGAUAAAACCCAGUCUUCUGUCUCCCAGGACAAACAUCUGUAUUCUCUAUCCUUUUUUUCUGAGAGGGUGUUUUAGCCUGCACUUAAACAUAACCCUUCAAGAAUAUGACCUUGCACCUGAACUUCUGGGAGAAGGAGCAACCCUGGGAUUAAUUAAAAUCCUACACACUGAUUAAAAGCAUCUUAGCACUUCAGGCUCAGUUAUGAAAGCUUUUCAUCUUGCAACCUCAGUUAGAAAAAUUCAGUAAACAGCCCUAUUUCCAACCUGUAUUUUGAGAACAAAAGAACAGAUCCAUCAGGAGGGAGGAAGAAUGGGGGCUGGCAGUGGGGAUUGUUUUUCUGUGGCUUCAGUAUUAAAUAAUCUGGUUUGAAUUGUUGUAAAGUACAAAAACAAAUGGCAUUCAGUCAUGGAUCUUAACUCACAAUAUCAGUAUGAAAAAAUGUUAUUUUCCCUUACAACUCAAUGGAGCAUCGUGUUUGGCAGCUGGGCCCCAUUACUGGGGUCCCCACAAGGGAAAUGUCAGGUCAGGCAUUAUUUACAAUCCCAAGUUUAUUUUCUCGCUAAGGCCUCUGAUGGUUCUAUCCACAUUUCAAGUGACAGGCAUUCCAUCCAAAAUCAUUUAUGCUCUGUUCUGUCAUGUCAUGAGCUUUCAAAUCUUAACAUCUUUAAUACCAGAGACUAUGAGAAGUUUUCUCAAACAAAAUUCUAAUUAGAUUCCUGAAGACUUCUAUUGAUUUAUGUCCUGGCAAGGAACAAAGUGCACGGGCUAAUAUUCAUUUACCCAAUGUUAUUAUAAAUGUUCAAAACACAAAUACGAAUGAUUGCAAAUGGGUUCCUGCCAUAUAACUGGUGCCAGAUGAUACAAAGUGUAUGCCAUGGCAUUCCUAUGUCUGCACACAAGACCAUCUGAACAUACUAAGUGUGGAAAUGUCCACUGCUCUAUUCCUAUCCAAGUUUGACCUCUUUGGAUAAUGAGCUAGAUUGAUCAGCUUCCACUAGAAGAUUGAUCAGCUUCCACCAAGCCUCUGGUACAAGGCUGUGUCUUUAUGAGAACGUGAGAAUCAGGUUUCCUUGAAUGCCACUUCUUUCUCUGAGCUAUUUUUAAUUCCACAUAGCCUGGUAAGUGUCGAGAAAACAUGAUUAUGUAACCAGAAAUGCCUACUACAAGUCCUUACCUUUAGCAAUGGCUAUCUUUGGGCAGGUUACUCUAACUUCUGUUUUAUCUCCUCACAUGUAAAUGGAGACAAGGAUGUCUGUUUUGGUGAGUCAUGAAGAAUGUGACUAUAUUUGUAAAAUUGGCUUUAUAGUGGAUGGUCAGUAGUAUUCAGCCCUUUCCUUGCAUCCAAAUUACUCUGAAUGAAACUCUUACAAAAAUUUUUUUGUCUGUAAUUCUCCUUAUGUUUCUGUUGUUCGUAUACAUUAUUUAGGCAGUACCCCAUGAGCUUCUUGAAGACAGGUGGUUGAUUGGUAAAUGAUGCAGUAGAUACAAAGGUUGUUCUUCCUUACUUCAACCACAUUAGGUCUCAUACAAUAGAAACUCAACAAAUGGCAUAAGUAAUGGAAGGAAUUGGAACCAUCCCAUCACUUCUAUUCUGUGCCUUGAGUUCUGAGAUUCCUGGAGAUAGGGGCAGUAUCUUACUCAUCCUUGUACCCUCUAUGCCAGCAUAAUGGUCUGCGUAGUCUUGGGGAUCAAUAAAUGUGUUGCCUUGAAUAAAACUUACUUGGUAUUUCUUAGCCCCAACCUCUGAAUCUGUGCUGGGUAUAUAGGAAAGUACUCAGUAUAACUCAGCAAAUCAUUUUGUUUAAUUCACUACCAGAAGUUCCCUGGGAAACCACAAAUCUUAUCACCUGAGUAGUGUGCCAUUUGAGUUAUAUGAACACACCGCAUUUAUUUCUCCUAUCUUCAAACAUACCCAGUUUCUGUUGCUUUAUUUUAUAGGUUAGAAGACAGGCCAAAAUACACACUCAGAGUCACAGGUAAAACCUUCCUAUGGCCUGCUAUGCUCUUCGUGAUUGUUCCCCUUACUGCCUCCUCACCCAUCUGCUCUGUGUUCUGUCUGUACUUUACUCUCCUGUGUCUGUGAACUUGUAGAGCAAUUUCAGUUGCUUGCAGUUCCUCAUGCUCUGUCUGUAGAGAGCCCUGUUCCUCCUGCAAAAUAUGACAUGAGUUGCACUUCUGUGAAAUAGUCCCCCAAAUUGCUAAGCAGAGUUAGGUUCUCCUCUAUUCAUCAUGUCUCUCACAUCACAGGUCACAGCACUUGUCCUGUUGUUUCAUAACUUCCUCUUUAGUACAGUGAUAAGCCGUCAUAGACUCUGGGUCUGGAGUUCUUUCUUGUCCAGCAAGAAAGCGGGAUGCAGGAUUAAAAAAUGCGAGAGAGGCUAAUGUUUGGGGGAAGACAAGAGCCCGGAAUAAAGGUCCUUGUUCUGUUUUUAUUAGUAUCAGAAGGCUUACAAACGAGCACAAAGAGACAGUGAAAUCAUGAGACAGUGAAAUCAUGAACGUUAACUCAUGGGCCUGAGGGAAAGAGGGUUUUGAAGACAGGCGGUGUUAGGGGUUUGGAUUAAUACAAACCAAAAAAAAAAAAAAAAAGGUUGUUUACAGCAGACAUGAGGCCCCACAUC